rnacentral:rRNA from 1 species
UACGUAGGCAGCGAGCGUUGUUCGGAAUUACUGGGCGUAAAGAGUGUGUAGGCGGUGCUCCCAGUCUGUUGUGAAAUCUCCCGGCUUAACUGGGAGGGUGCAGCGGAAACUAGAGUGCUAGAGGGUGGGAGAGGUAAGCGGAAUUCCUGGUGUAGCGGUGAAAUGCGUAGAUAUCAGGAGGAACACCUGUGGUGUAGACAGCU